rnacentral:ncRNA from 2 species
AUCGAGGCCCAGCCCGCGGACGGCG